UCUAGGUUUAGUCCAAGACAUUGUAGGC
rnacentral:sRNA from 1 species